rnacentral:misc_RNA from 1 species
GUAGGUGAACCUGCGGAAGGAUCAUUAUUAAAAAAGUUUUAAGAGUGCACUUCAUUGUGGCUCUAACCUUUUACAAUGUACUUUUCACCCUUUUUUUUAAACCCAAAACUGUUAUGUGUACCUUUUUUUGGUAUAGCAUCUCAGUAGUACGCAUCAUGUGAAUUUUUAAUUCACAAGUUGCAUUACCCCCUUUUUUGAAAUUAACACUAUAAAAAGUUCUAAGAAUGUAAACCCCCUUUAAAUUAUAUAACUUUUAACAAUGGAUCUCUUGGCUCUC